CAGGAUGAACGCUGGCGGCGUGCUUAACACAUGCAAGUCGAACGGUGAAAGAGAGCUUGCUCUCUGGAUCAGUGGCGAACGGGUGAGUAACACGUGAGCAAUCUGCCCCUGACUCUGGGAUAACAGCUGGAAACAGCUGCUAAUACCGGAUACGAGCUGCGAAGGCAUCUUCAGCAGCUGGAAAGAACUUCGGUCAGGGAUGAGCUCGCGGCCUAUCAGCUUGUUGGUGAGGUAACGGCUCACCAAGGCGUCGACGGGUAGCCGGCCUGAGAGGGUGACCGGCCACACUGGGACUGAGACACGGCCCAGACUCCUACGGGAGGCAGCAGUGGGGAAUAUUGCACAAUGGGCGAAAGCCUGAUGCAGCAACGCCGCGUGAGGGACGACGGCCUUCGGGUUGUAAACCUCUUUUAGCAGGGAAGAAGCGAAAGUGACGGUACCUGCAGAAAAAGCACCGGCUAACUACGUGCCAGCAGCCGCGGUAAUACGUAGGGUGCAAGCGUUAUCCGGAAUUAUUGGGCGUAAAGAGCUCGUAGGCGGUUUGUCGCGUCUGCUGUGAAAACUGGAGGCUCAACCUCCAGCCUGCAGUGGGUACGGGCAGACUAGAGUGCGGUAGGGGAGAUUGGAAUUCCUGGUGUAGCGGUGGAAUGCGCAGAUAUCAGGAGGAACACCGAUGGCGAAGGCAGAUCUCUGGGCCGUAACUGACGCUGAGGAGCGAAAGGGUGGGGAGCAAACAGGCUUAGAUACCCUGGUAGUCCACCCCGUAAACGNUNNNGNNNAGUUGUGGGGACCAUUCCACGGUUUCCGUGACGCAGCUAACG
rnacentral:rRNA from 1 species